UACGGAAGGCAGCAGUGGGGAAUAUUGCACAAUGGGCGCAAGCCUGAUGCAGCCAUGCCGCGUGUAUGAAGAAGGCCUUCGGGUUGUAAAGUACUUUCAGUCGUGAGGAAGGUGUUAAGGUUAAUAACCUUAGCAAUUGACGUUAGCGACAGAAGAAGCACCGGCUAACUCCGUGCCAGCAGCCGCGGUAAUACGGAGGGUGCGAGCGUUAAUCGGAAUUACUGGGCGUAAAGGGCACGCAGGCGGUUAAUUAAGUUGGAUGUGAAAUCCCCGGGCUUAACCUGGGAAUGGCAUUCAAGACUGGUUAGCUAGAGUCUUGUAGAGGGGGUAGAAUUCCAUGUGUAGCGGUGAAAUGCGUAGAGAUGUGGAGGAAUACCGGUGGCGAAAGGCGGCCCCUGGCAAAGGACUGACGCUCAUGUGCGAAAGCGUGGGGAGCAAACAGGGAUUAGAUACC
rnacentral:rRNA from 1 species